AGGCUGAUACCGCCCAAGAGUUCAUAUCGACGGCGGUGUUUGGCACCUCGAUGUCGGCUCAUCACAUCCUGGGGCUGAAGUCGGUCCCAAGGGUAUGGCUGUUCGCCAUUUAAAGUGGUACGCGAGCUGGGUUUAGAACGUCGUGAGACAGUUCGGUCCCUAUCUGCCGUGGGCGUUGGAAGAUUGAAGGGGGCUGCUCCUAGUACGAGAGGACCGGAGUGGACGAACCUCUGGUGUUCGGGUUGUGUCGCCAGACGCAUUGCCCGGUAGCUAAGUUC
rnacentral:rRNA from 1 species